rnacentral:ncRNA from 1 species
GGUUCCGGUCGGUCGGGCCGCCUUCCCAAGGAACGAGGAGAGAAAGAACCCUCUCCAAGCCCCACCUCUCCCCGCUUCGGCGGAACCCUCACCCGGGGGAGUGAAAACCACCAAAAGGGCUGUUCGGAGGGCGGGUUGCCGGAUCUAAGCUCGGCCCGAUUGGCAUAUGACCGCAGACAUGCGUCGGCCCCCGCCGGGAGUGGAGUCCCAAAGACGGGGGCCUGACCACCUAGGAAGUGAGGCUUCCCG